GGGGCUAUAGCUCAGUGAUAGAGCUCUUGAAUAGUAUGUAUGAGGAUCUGGGUUCAAAUCUCAGUACCUGCC
rnacentral:tRNA from 1 species